rnacentral:rRNA from 1 species
CCUACGGGUGGCUGCAGUGGGGAAUAUUGGUCAAUGGGCGAAAGCCUGAACCAGCAAUGCCGCGUGAGUGAUGAAGGCCUUCGGGUUGUAAAGCUCUGUCGGGAGGGACGAAAAAGCAGCGUAACGAGCUGUGUUGACGGUACCUCCAAAGGAAGCACCGGCUAACUCUGUGCCAGCAGCCGCGGUAAUACAGAGGGUGCAAGCGUUGUUCGGAAUUACUGGGCGUAAAGCGCGUGUAGGCGGCGGCGUAAGUCGAAUGUGAAAGCCCUUGGCUU